UAAGUAGUAAAAAGUAGAAUAAUAGAUUUGAAAUAUUUAUUAUAUAGAUUUAAAGAGAUAAUCAUGGAGUAUAAAAAUUAAAUUUAAUAAAUUUAAUAUAACUAUUAAUAGAAUUAGGUUACUAAUAAAUUAAUAACAAUUAAUUUUAAAACCUAAAGGUAAACCUUUAUAUUAAUAAUGUUUUUUUUUAUUUUUAUAAUUAAGAAUAAUUAUUAAUAAUAAUAAACUAAGUGAACUGAAACAUCUAAGUAACUUAAGGAUAAUAAAUCAACAGAGAUAUUAUGAGUAUUGGUGAGAGAAAAUAAUAAAGGUCUAAUAAGUAUUAUGUGAAAAAAAUGUAAGAAAAUAGGAUAACAAAUUCUAAGACUAAAUACUAUUAAUAAGUAUAGUAAGUACCGUAAGGGAAAGUAUGAAAAUGAUUAUUUUAUAAGCAAUCAUGAAUAUAUUAUAUUAUAUUAAUGAUGUACCUUUUGUAUAAUGGGUCAGCAAGUAAUUAAUAUUAGUAAAACAAUAAGUUAUAAAUAAAUAGAAUAAUAUAUAUAUAUAAAAAAAUAUAUUAAAAUAUUUAAUUAAUAUUAAUUGACCCGAAAGCAAACGAUCUAACUAUGAUAAGAUGGAUAAACGAUCGAACAGGUUGAUGUUGCAAUAUCAUCUGAUUAAUUGUGGUUAGUAGUGAAAGACAAAUCUGGUUUGCAGAUAGCUGGUUUUCUAUGAAAUAUAUGUAAGUAUAGCCUUUAUAAAUAAUAAUUAUUAUAUAAUAUUAUAUAAAUAUUAUAUAAAGAAUGGUACAGCAAUUAAUAUAUAUUAGGGAACUAUUAAAGUUUUAUUAAUAAUAUUAAAUCUCGAAAUAUUUAAUUAUAUAUAAUAAAGAGUCAGAUUAUGUGCGAUAAGGUAAAUAAUCUAAAGGGAAACAGCCCAGAUUAAGAUAUAAAGUUCCUAAUAAAUAAUAAGUGAAAUAAAUAUUAAAAUAUUAUAAUAUAAUCAGUUAAUGGGUUUGACAAUAACCAUUUUUUAAUGAACAUGUAACAAUGCACUGAUUUAUAAUAAAUAAAAAAAAUAAUAUUUAAAAUCAAAUAUAUAUAUAUUUGUUAAUAGAUAAUAUACGGAUCUUAAUAAUAAGAAUUAUUUAAUUCCUAAUAUGGAAUAUUAUAUUUUUAUAAUAAUAAUAAAAAUAUAAAUACUGAAUAUCUAAAUAUUAUUAUUACUUUUUUUUAUAAUAAUAAUAUGGUAAUAGAACAUUUAAUGAUAAUAUAUAUUAGUUAUUAAUUAAUAUAUGUAUUAAUUAAAUAGAGAAUGCUGACAUGAGUAACGAAAAAAAGGUAUAAACCUUUUCACCUAAAACAUAAGGUUUAACUAUAAAAGUACGGCCCCUAAUUAAAUUAUAUAAGAAUAUAAAUAUAUUUAAGAUGGGAUAAUCUAUAUUAAUAAAAAUUUAUCUUAAAAUAUAUAUAUUAUUAAUAAUUAUAUUAAUUAAUUAAUAAUAUAUAUAAUUAUAUUAUAUAUUAUAUUUUUAUAUAUAAUAUAUAUAAUAUAAACUAAUAAAGAUCAGGAAAUAAUUAAUGUAUACCGUAAUGUAGACCGACUCAGGUAUGUAAGUAGAGAAUAUGAAGGUGAAUUAGAUAAUUAAAGGGAAGGAACUCGGCAAAGAUAGCUCAUAAGUUAGUCAAUAAAGAGUAAUAAGAACAAAGUUGUACAACUGUUUACUAAAAACACCGCACUUUGCAGAAACGAUAAGUUUAAGUAUAAGGUGUGAACUCUGCUCCAUGCUUAAUAUAUAAAUAAAAUUAUUUAACGAUAAUUUUAUUAAAUUUAGGUAAAUAGCAGCCUUAUUAUGAGGGUUAUAAUGUAGCGAAAUUCCUUGGCCUAUAAUUGAGGUCCCGCAUGAAUGACGUAAUGAUACAACAACUGUCUCCCCUUUAAGCUAAGUGAAAUUGAAAUCGUAGUGAAGAUGCUAUGUACCUUCAGCAAGACGGAAAGACCCUAUGCAGCUUUACUGUAAUUAGAUAGAUCGAAUUAUUGUUUAUUAUAUUCAGCAUAUUAAGUAAUCCUAUUAUUAGGUAAUCGUUUAGAUAUUAAUGAGAUACUUAUUAUAAUAUAAUGAUAAUUCUAAUCUUAUAAAUAAUUAUUAUUAUUAUUAUUAAUAAUAAUAAUAUGCUUUCAAGCAUAGUGAUAAAACAUAUUUAUAUGAUAAUCACUUUACUUAAUAGAUAUAAUUCUUAAGUAAUAUAUAAUAUAUAUUAUAUAUAUAUUAUAUAUAAUAUAAGAGACAAUCUCUAAUUGGUAGUUUUGAUGGGGCGUCAUUAUCAGCAAAAGUAUCUGAAUAAGUCCAUAAAUAAAUAUAUAAAAUUAUUGAAUAAAAAAAAUAAUAUAUAUUAUAUAUAUUAAUUAUAAAUUGAAAUAUGUUUAUAUAAAUUUAUAUUUAUUGAAUAUAUUUUAGUAAUAGAUAAAAAUAUGUACAGUAAAAUUGUAAGGAAAACAAUAAUAACUUUCUCCUCUCUCGGUGGGGGUUCACACCUAUUUUUAAUAGGUGUGAACCCCUCUUCGGGGUUCCGGUUCCCUUUCGGGUCCCGGAACUUAAAUAAAAAUGGAAAGAAUUAAAUUAAUAUAAUGGUAUAACUGUGCGAUAAUUGUAACACAAACGAGUGAAACAAGUACGUAAGUAUGGCAUAAUGAACAAAUAACACUGAUUGUAAAGGUUAUUGAUAACGAAUAAAAGUUACGCUAGGGAUAACAGGGUAAUAUAACGAAAGAGUAGAUAUUGUAAGUUAUGUUUGCCACCUCGAUGUCGACUCAACAUUUCCUCUUGGUUGUAAAAGCUAAGAAGGGUUUGACUGUUCGUCAAUUAAAAUGUUACGUGAGUUGGGUUAAAUACGAUGUGAAUCAGUAUGGUUCCUAUCUGCUGAAGGAAAUAUUAUCAAAUUAAAUCUCAUUAUUAGUACGCAAGGACCAUAAUGAAUCAACCCAUGGUGUAUCUAUUGAUAAUAAUAUAAUAUAUUUAAUAAAAAUAAUACUUUAUUAAUAUAUUAUCUAUAUUAGUUUAUAUUUUAAUUAUAUAUUAUCAUAGUAGAUAAGCUAAGUUGAUAAUAAAUAAAUAUUGAAUACAUAUUAAAUAUGAAGUUGUUUUAAUAAGAUAAUUAAUCUGAUAAUUUUAUACUAAAAUUAAUAAUUAUAGGUUUUAUAUAU
rnacentral:rRNA from 1 species